AUAUUGCGCAAUGGGCGGAAGCCUGACGCAGCGACGCCGCGUGGGGGAUGACGGCCUUCGGGUUGUAAACCUCUUUCAGCAGGGACGAAGCGAGAGUGACGGUACCUGCAGAAGAAGCACCGGCCAACUACGUGCCAGCAGCCGCGGUAAUACGUAGGGUGCAAGCGUUGUCCGGAAUUAUUGGGCGAAAAGAGCUCGUAGGCGGUUUGUUGCGUCGGCUGAGAAAUCCCGAGGCUCAACCUCGGGUCUGCAGUCGAUACGAGCAAACUAGAGUGUUGCAGGGGAGACUGGAAUUCCUGGUGUAGCGGUGAAAUGCGCAGAUAUCAGGAGGAACACCGGUGGCGAAGGCGGGUCUCUGGGCAACAACUGACGCUGAGGAGCGAAAGCGUGGGGAGCGAACA
rnacentral:rRNA from 1 species